rnacentral:lncRNA from 1 species
UGUAACACUCGGCUUAUUCUACUACACCACACCCAUAUUUCCUAAUGACUGUGAGUUUCAGAAGGAACUAACAAUAUUGUCCAAGGCAAUGUCAUGACAUCCGGUCAGACAUUCUUAUGCUCACUCAGCCUUGACACUGACUGUGAGUUUCAGAAGGAACUAACAAUAUUGUCCAAGGCAAUGUCAUGACAUCCGGUCAGACAUUCUUAUGCUCACUCAGCCUUGACACACACCACAUCAUCCCAAUUACCAACAAGGGUCCAUAUCUUG